GCCCCAGUAGCUCAGAGGAUAGAGCAGCGGUUUCCUAAACCGUUGGUCGGGGGUCCGACUCCCUCCUGGGGCA
rnacentral:tRNA from 1 species